rnacentral:rRNA from 1 species
UACAGAGGUCUCAAGCGUUUGUUCGGAUUCAUUGGGCGUAAAGGGUGCGUAGGCGGCGCGGUAAGUCGGAUGUGAAAUCUCGGAGCUUAACUUCGAAACUGCAUUCGAUACUGCUGUGCUUGAGGACUGGAGAGGAGACUGGAAUUCCUGGUGUAGCGGUGGAAUGCGCAGAUAUCAGGAGGAAGACCAGUGGCGAAGGCGGGUCUCUGGACAGUUCCUGACACUGAGACACGAAGGCCAGGGGAGCAAACGGG